rnacentral:rRNA from 1 species
UGAGCGCUGUGGACACGAGGGACUGCGCACAGGGAACGCGCAGGAACAUAUUUUGGUUGGACUAACGGCGGCACCAGAUGAGCGUGGCGCGGCUCUUUCAUCGUGAGUCACAUCGACUCUGAUCAGCGACGACAAGACAAGACGAAGGUGGCUCCGCGCACCACAUACUACCUCUCCUUCCCUCCCACGACGAACCGCGGCUCCAUGCGUCGGCCCCGGCGGGUCCGUGUCCGUCCGGUCCCCACCGUGUACCCUUCCCGGUACGACUUCAAAUCCGGGUAGCGCGGUUUCGGCCGCCGCUACCGCGGACGCGGCUACGGCCGGCACGGCCGACCCUUCCCCUUCGCCUUCCGCCAACGUCCCCCAUGACCCUCCUCCCCUGCCUUCGUGUUCUUCGGUCGGUGACACCGACGUGGCUGCUGCGUUUUCAACCUGAUGCACGUCCUGUUCGGAAACAGGAGCGGCAGGAGGAGGAGCAGCCCCUACUGCAGGCAGCUGAGCAGCGGAGGAGGUGGGGACGGACGUUGGGACGGCGAGUACGGACACGACGGCCGUCUCCUCCCCAAGCCACCCCGCCGCGGCCACCGCUUAGACCGCGGACGGGUGCAACGGCCUGACCAGGACGGCGGCGUCCGGAACUCCGUUCACCACAGGACCCACUGCCAACUUCUGCAAUGUCCGUAGACCGCGCUGCCGCUCCUCGGCAUGCGACGCCGGACGCCGCCGCUGCUCCCGGGUUGCAAGCACAGGCUGGUCACGCCGGCGCAGUGGACCUGUUUGCACCGAAAGUUGGCCCGUCACAGGCCAUCCCUCCCGCGGCUGCGACGGUACCGGGGCAGCCGCCGACGAAGGCUCCACGCCCACCACGAGCGGCGGUUCCUACCGCGGGGGCACGGCCGCACCCCGAGGACACGGCCAAAGUGGACAGCCCACGUGCAGGGCAUGCGUACGGGAGCGGCUCCAAGGGAGCACCGGGGCACGCUGCACACCGCCGAUCUGCGACCGCCGAUGGAGACCGCCGAGCUGGAAGUCCGGUGGGAGUCGGAGAGGGAGCCGCCGAAGUAAACUGACGCAUUGACGCAUGCGUAAGGAACAUGCCUCUGUCUCAUAUAUAUAAAGGACCUCUCUGCGCUGCUAGGGCUUUUCUACGUAGCCAAGGUCCUCCUGCCCUCUCUCCGCUGCCAACGUUGCCUGUGUCCGCAGGCAUGGCCACGUUGAGCAAGCUACCCGUUCCCCUCUAAAGGGAAUUAAUGUCUAAUAUCAAAUUAGAAUUGUGAAGGGGAUUAAAUGCGAACUGGUACAUCUUAGUAGAAGUGCUAACAGGCCCUUCGAGAUAGUAGAGUUUUCUAAGAGGAAGUUUUCAAGAAGUAUUUUAGAAACUACUCUAAGACUUUAUAUAUGAGUGUUUCUUUCUAUCGUAUUACACUACAGUAAUUUUAUUCCUAUAGAGUUCUUCUCUGAGGGGGACUGUGGACGUUCAGGG